UCCUCUCCUCUCCCAAUCCACCGCAGCCGGCCGGCCUCCCCCUCCCUCCUCUGACCCCCUCCGACCGCUGCCUGCCCCUCCCCGCCGUGGCAGCGUCAGGCCGCGCCGCGAUCCCGAGCGAGACUCUCCGGCCCGAUGGCGUCGGCCGACAUGUUCCCCAACGUCUCCUCCUCCGACGUCAACGCCGCUGCCUCGCAGUCGCAGGAGGCCGCUGGCAAGGCCGUGUUCGGCUUGGACUCCGCCUCCGCCGCGCCCACCACCGCGCGCCGCGAGACCCAACAGGCCACGGCCCCAUCCGCCCCGCCGCCGUCGCGCCAGGUGCGUUCCUCGGUUCCGCCACCCUCCGGCCAUCCCCGCAUCCCUCCCAGCGAGCCCGCGCUGCUUCAGGAUCUCCGCGCGCGGCGGCUGUCCUCGCCGGGACGCGUUCGAGGGUGGACCUCGCCCGCUCGACGGAACGCCAUGGCGGGAACCGGGGUCGUCCGUGGCCUGUUUCGCCCCGAUCUGUCGCUAUGCCCGUAGGGGAUGGGAUGGGAUGGGUGGGCAAUGGAACGGGUCAGGAGUAGAGGGCAAUGCGCUUCUCCUCUGUUUUGCCGGUACUAACGAUAGGCAUUUUGUAGUACUACUAUACUAGUUAUAAGAUGAUUGUAGAUUUGGGGAGCCACCGUGGGAAGAAUUGCACGGGGAGGGGCAGGGAUCGCGGCACCAGAGGAGUCAGCCCCUCGGCUUGAAUUAAAUUGCGGAUUACGCUCUAGGUCAUUCAGCACACUGAACUAUUGUGUCAAAUAUGCCACCAUCCCUUUAAUUUGCACAUCCGGAUCACUACGCUAAACUAAACGGGUGACUGCACAUAGCAACCUUGCCACGUUGAACGGGUGUAUCAACAACUUAGCCUAGUUAUGUUUAUGUGCGGAGUAGUGGCGGAGCUUGAACGAGGAUGCUGAGGGGGCCAAGCUGAUCGACCUCUCCGGCGCGUAGGUACGCGCCGUGGUCUCUGUGAUUUGGGGUAGUGGCCCGAGUGCAGUCGGGCUCGAAUUCUUUGCUAUGGGUUUGGAGGAGUAAUGUUUCUGGUUCUGCAGAUAUUCAAGCUGGCGGACGGAGUGUCUGUGCGUGAGCAGUGAGACGGCGGCUAAGGCUAGCGUGGAAGAGGUUCAUUGAUGAUAGCCAAGGGUUCAUGCUCGGAAACGACUACAUCUUGCUCCAUGUUGUCGGCUCAGCUGAAGUCCUUAAUCAUGAGGAGAUGGGACACGUCGAUUGUUACAGUACACUUGACAGAGGUGAUCGACGCUGACUAGCACGGCCCGGUGGCGCUGUGCUCUUCAACCACUCGGAGACGGACUUCGUCGUGAAGCCUGGUUGCCACGUCGCAUAGAUGAUCGUCCAGGUGAUUUCGACACCGGGAGGUCGCCGAGGUGGGGACCUUGACGCCACCGUCCGGGGGAGGGAGGAUUCGAGUCCAUCGACGUCUGAACUCCGAGCCUAGGUAGAUACAUCUAGAGAAGUGGUCUAUUUAGGUUGGUGGUAGACCACUAGGGAUGGUACCCACCUUACGAUGAUGGUUGUGUGUGUCUGAUGUUAAAUGGAAUCUUGAGAUGGUUCUGUGACAUGUUAAAUGGAAUAUUGAGAUGGUUCAGUGACAUUCGUUUGUUUUGCAUUGGACGUAUUACUAUUCAUGAAUACUACAUCUAAUUUUUA